rnacentral:snRNA from 2 species
AUACUUACCUGGCAGGGGAGACACCAUGAUCAUGAAGGUGGUUCACCCAAGGUGAGGCUCAGCCAUUGCACUGAGGCUUUGCUGACCUUUGCGAACGGCGAUGCGCUGGACAGAAGUGCAAUUGAGAUGUGUUAGGAUUGGCCAACCCUUGA